ensembl:rRNA 5S_rRNA 5S ribosomal RNA
AAGCUGUGUGACUUUCCCCUGAACGCACCUGAUUCUGUCUGGUCUCUGAAACUAAGCAGGGUCAGGCCUGCUUAGUACUUGGAUGAAAGACCACUUGGGAACACAAGUUGUAUAACUUU